GCUAAUGUAGCUUAACCAAAGCAUAACACUGAAGAUGUUAAGAUGGGCCCUAGAAAGCCCCAUAAGCA
rnacentral:tRNA from 1 species